CCUUGUUAGAAUUAAAUCAUAUGAUGAUAUGUUAAUGAUUUAAUGGCAAUAUUAUAAAUAUGAUAUGAUCAUUAUUUAUAUUUUAAUAUGAUAUUAAUAUGAUGAGAUCAUAUUCAUUAUUUCAUAAUUAAAUUAUGAUGUAUAUAAUUAUGGAAUAUUGCUCUAUCAUAUUGAAUUGUGUUCACUAUGAUGCUAAUUUCUUUUAUUCAUG
rnacentral:lncRNA from 1 species